AGAAGUCGGGUCAAACUCACGAUGGAUUUUGGGGAUAUUUGCUUAGAGCGCGCAAAACCCCACCAAAACCCUCUGCUUUCCGCAUCAUCGAGUUACUCCCUAGUUCACAUUGCCCAUAGUUGUCAAACGCAGAAGUGGAGGCAACACCUCCAAAGUCCGAGCAAAUCCUUCAUGCAGUUCAUCCUGCGAUCAAUCUUCAGCCCUGGCCGGGAACCGAAGCACCAGCACCAAACCCGCCGUGCCUUCGUUGACGCUACCAUCAAAUGGGUCCGAGACCGCGGCCUCGACCAUGCCGUCGAGAAGGAGAAGAACCUCAGGCCCGUCAUCAACCUUAAGAAUCUCAUCAAAUCAGAGCCGUCCAAAUCCCUUCCCUUCUCUAUCAUUGCCGAUAAGAAGGACUAUUUGGGAAUCCCGAUCCGGGUUGUUGAUUUUGUCCGAAGGUACCGCUCUGUUUUUGAAGAAUUUCUCCCUGGCGGCAUCGGCGUUCACCCCCGUAUUCGGCUAACCCCACAAGUUCUUGAGCUUGAUUCCGAAGAACAAUUGAUUUACCAAAGUGAAACUUAUCAACAACAAGCCGCAGAUCGGCUUUUGAAGCUAUUGAUGAUGUGUCGAAUCAAUAAGGUACCGUUAAAUAUUGUUGACCUGUUCAAAUGGGACCUUGGUCUUCCCCAUGAUUAUGUACAAAGCCUAGUGCCGCAAUUUCCAGACUAUUUUCAAGUAAAAAGAUCGAAGGAUUCAUCAUCCGGGUGUGGUAUUGAUGUCUUAGAAUUGGUUUGUUGGAGUAGUGAACUUGCGGUUACAGUUAUGGAGAAGAAGGCAAUGAAUGGAAAGUUGGAUUACGAGAAGGGAAUGCCCAUUGCAUUCCCUGUGCAGUAUUCAAGAGGUUUUGAAAUGGAUAAGAAGGUGAAGAAGUGGGUGGAUGAGUGGCAGAAAUUGCCUUACAUUUCUCCUUAUGAAAAUGCCCUACAUCUUCCGCCCAAGAGUGAUGAAUCAGAUAAGUGGGCGGUGGCCAUAUUGCACGAGCUUCUUCAUAUUCUUAUUCCAAAGAAGACGGAUAAGGAGAAUAUAUUAUGCCUUGGAGAGUAUAUGGGACUGCGGUCGAGGUUUAAAAGGGCCUUGCUUCACCAUCCCGGCAUAUUUUAUCUCUCAAGUAAAAACAGGACUCAUACUGUGAUUUUGAGGGAGGCUUACAAGAGGGAUUUGUUGAUUGAGAAGCAUCCAAUGAUGAUUAUGAGGUAUCGUUAUGUGCAUCUUAUGAAUACAGCGAAGGAUGAGCAUAAAGGUACCACUGUGCCAAGUUGUACAACUCAACAACAACAAACUGCUAAUGGUUCUGAGGAAGGAAAGGGAGAAGAGGUGGACUAUGGAAGUGAAGAAGAAUGGGAUGGUGCCUUGAAUGGGUUGUCCAGUUCUGAAGAGGAGGAUGCCUGUGAUGAUAUUGAUGAUGAGGAUGACGAUGGCUAUGAGGGGAAGGAUGAAGAUGAGAGUAAGAGAGGUCGUCAUAGGAAUGUUGUAAUCAAUAGAGGAAGAACAAGGAAGAGAAAUUUGAAGGCAGAAGGGCCUUUGGGACAUCAUGGACAAGAAAGGUCACAGGGAAAAUACCACAGAAAGACCAAGGACAAAGCGCCAUCCAAUGCUUCAAGAAGAAUAGAAUUGUGUGACUCACAUAAUUCCAGCAAGAGAUUGCCCAAGAGAUCAGAUUUUUCCCAGAAGCAGAGGGUGUUCGUUGCUAGAUAGGAUGAUUUGCUCUGUAAAAUGUUCUCUUCCUUUCUGAUACAACAUGGGGGUUAGUGCUACACUGCCACUAGUGCGAAAACCAAUCCUUACUGUUCACUGAUGGUAUUGGGGUUAAUGGAGGGUGUUUUAUGAUAACUGCUUUUAUGUUGAUAAUUGUGGCUGCCCAAACCUCCUGAAAACAUGAAAUUAAGUUGCCUUUGGGUUUUCUUACUGAGAAUGUGCUGGUCUCCUCCAUGGAAAAGCAAUGCGUUUGUGGCUAAGAAUUUGAAAUGAUUUGCUAUAUUUAUCUCUUCUUCAAAAUCUGAAGAGACAAGCUAAUGGUUCCUGUGGACCUGUGGUCUACUCCUCAAGUCUCAGGUGGCAUGUAAGAAGCAGUUUUAAAUUAAUCAAUUUCAUUGCAGUGCAAAGUGUGGAGUUGUUGUAUUGUGCUGUAGAGCAGUUGCUGUUUCUUGUAGGAGGGGGACCUGAAUGCUAGUUUCUUAAUGCUUACCAGAAGGUUCAACAUCUUGACCAGAAUUCAAGUGGAGGGAGAGACUCUAGUUGAUGAAGGGGAUGUCAAAAAGGGCAUUUGCAAUUUUUACAAGAACCUCUAUACUGAGCGAUAGACAUGGCGACCAACUGUUGAUGGCAUUAUUUUCAGAAACCUGUGCCUUUCCGUAGCAGCUCAAAGGGCCCUUUGAGGAAGAGGAAAUUGUUCAAGCUCUCAAGGGAUGCAAUGGGGAUAAAGCUCCAGGCCCUGAUGGCUCCACUUUGGCUUCUUUUCGAAGAAAUUGGUGUCUUCUCAAACAGGAUAUAAUCUGUGUUUUUGAAGAUUUUCACUGAACAGGUAAAUUCGUACUAGUAUCAACUAAACCUUUUCUCAUUGAUUCCCAAGAAAAUGGGGUCGAAGAAUUCCGACAAUU